ACCAAAUACAUUAAUGAGCAAUAACAGCAAUUUUGGAAUUAUUGUAUUUGAAAUGGCAAAAAAAAAAAACACCAAUACCACCUCUAGUAGCAUGAUUACUUGGUUUAUCAAGCUUGACCAAUAGGUGACACUGUUAUAAAAUCAAUUUGGUGUACUCUGUGUGUCUUUUCAAUGACACACACAAAGUUUGGUGUCAAUAUGCCAAAGCAUUCCAGGGAUACAGCCUCAAGUGUCAUUUUCUCAUUGUGCCUCAAAUUCGUCGAUGUGGUAUGCGAAAACGGUUUUGUCUAUCGACUCAAAAUCCAUAACUUUGAAUCAGUAUAGCCUGAAGAUCAUUUGAUUCGAAUUUGGUGAAAAUCGGACAUACGGUUGAUCAGGAGUUCGAAAAAGUAUGUUUUCAACAUAAAUCAAAAUGGCGGACCGGAAGUUCAGCUUACCGUGGUAUAUUUGGUAUCUAUGUUAUCGGCAUAAGCCAGGGAAUAUUUUGAGCCCAGUUUCCUUCAAAUAGGCUAAUGCAUUAAAAAGUUAUUAGCAUUUUAAAAAGUGUAAUUACUCAUGGUUAAUGAAUGGUUUAUUACUCUUGACCAAUAGGUGGCGCUGAUACCAAAUUUAUGUGGCAUGGUCAGUGUGAGGUGGCAAUGACACAUACAAAGUUUGGUGCAAAUAUGUCAAAGUGUUGCAGAGAUACAGCCUCAAAUGCAUUUUGGCACCCUUCCAGCAAAUUCGUUGAUGCGCUAAAUGAGAACCGUUACGUAUAUCGACACAAAAUCCAUAACUUUUUGCCAGCAUGGUCUGAAGAUGAUGCACGUCAAAUUUGGUGAAAAUUGGGCUAACGGUCUAGGAGGAGUUCGAAAAAGUAGGUUUUCAACAUUAAGCAAAAUGGCGGACAGGAAGUAAGGCCAAUUUUCACAUUAUUGGUAUCAAUACUCUCGGCAUGACCCACAUAAUAUAGCGAGACCAUUUUAAUUUUAAUAGACUAAUUUAUUCAAAAGUUAUUAGCAUUUAUGUGAUAUUUCAUUAUAACUAUUGGCCACAAGGUGGCGCUGCCACCAAACUUUUUGAGUACCUUCAGGGCAUGGAGCCGAAUAUUUUUGUAAUUAUUUGCGAAACGAUACGAUGCUGCGUUCAAAAAAUACAGCAUUUUAAAUCAUAAUUCAAAAUGGCCGACGCCUAAAAUGGCCGACACAGGAAAAUUGGAUAUCAUUUGACUCGACAUGACUCACUGAAUCUAAAGAGACCAGUUGUGUGAUUUUUGGCCAAACCAUUCAGUAGUUAUAAGCCAAAAUAUGCAUUUUUCAUAUAUCCUGACCACUAGGUGGCGCUGUGUCGAAACACUGCAGGUAGUCUCAGUUCAUGCUUGUUAUAACACACGCCAAGUUUGGUCUCAAUAUGACAAACCGUUGCCGGGAUAUAGCCUCACGUGCAUGUUUGCGUGCUUUUCGUCAAAUUUGUUUACGUGUCAUUCGACAACAGUUGGACGAAUCAACUUGAAUUCCAUAACUUUUUGCCAGCAUGGUCUGAAGAUGAUCUGAGCCAAUUUUCGUGGCAAUCGGACUAACCGUCUAGGACGAGUUCGAAAAAGUAGGUUUUUCGAAUAAUUGAAAAUAGCGAAAAAACUAAACCUUGCGAUUUUUGAAUUUUGGGGUUCAUUCGACUUGGCAUGAGCCACGGAUUCAGAGGAAAAAAGAAUUUCCAUUUUCUGGCUUACGGUUCAAAAGUUAUUAGCAUACAAACAUUGAAAGUUUGGACAACUGGUGGCGCUAGAGAGUAGGAGUUAGAGACUUCAAAUUAGCUAUAGUUAAUGUUGGGACUGUCCUCUAUCAGUGUGCCAAAUUAUACAACUUUCCCGCAAUCGGUUCUAUGGGCUGCCAUAGACUUGCGGCGGAAGAAGAAGAAGAAGAAGAAGAAGCAGAAAUAUAGCUGCAAGCAGCAAUUACGGGGCCAAGCACUCCAACGGCAAAUGUAGGAGCUAAGCAUGGCAUGGAGCAUCACACCAAAUGCAUUAAUGAGCAAUAACAGCAAUUUUAGGAUGAUUGUAAUUGAAAUGGCUAAAAAAAAUCAUAAAUACAACCUCUAGUAGCAUGAUUUACUGGCUUAUCAAAAUUGACCAAUAGGUGGUGCUGUUAUCAAGUCAAUUUGGUGUACUCUGUGUGACUUUUCAAUGACACAAACAAAGUUUGGUGUCAAUAUGCCAAAGCAUUGCAGAGAUACAGCCUCAAGUGUCAUUUUGGCAUUGUGCCUCAAAUUCGUCGCUGUGGUAUGCGAAAACGGUUUUGUCUAUCGAUACAAAAUCCAUAACAUUUUGUCAGGACAGUCUACAGAUCAUCUGAGUCAAUUUUGGUGAAAAUCGGACUAACGGUUGAUGAGGAGUUCGAAAAAGUAGGUUUUCAACAUAAAUCAAAAUGGCGGACAGGAAGUUCGGCUUACUCUGGCAUAUAUGGUAUCUAUGUUGUCGGCAUAAGCCAGGGAAUAUAUUGAGGCCAGUUUCAUUACAAUAGGCUAAUGCAUUAAAAAGUUACUAGCAUUUUUAUAAGUGUAAUUAUUCAUAGUUAAUGAAUGGUUCAUUACUCUUGACCAAUAGGUGGCGCUGUUACCAAAUUUAUGUGGCAUGGUCAGUGUGAGGUGGCGAUGACACAUACAAAGUUUGGUGCAAAAAUGUCAAAGCGUUGCAGAGAUACAGCCUCAAAUGCAUUAUGGCACCCUUCCAGCAAAUUCGUUGAUGCGCUAAAUCAGAACCGUUUUGUAUAUCGACACGAAAUCCAUAACUUUUUGCCAGCAUGGUCUGAAGAUGAUUCACGUCAAAUUUGGUGAAAAUCGGACUAACGGUCUAGGAGGAGUUCGAAAAAGUAGGUUUUCAUCAUUAAUCAAAAUGGCGGACAGGAAGUAUGGCCAAUUUUGGCAUAAUCGGUAUCUAUGUUCUCGGCAUGACCCAUAGAAUACGGGGAGACCAUUUGCAUUUCAACUGUCUAAUUUACUCAAAAGUUAUUAGCAUUUUUGUGAUAAUUCAUUAUAACUCUUGACCACAAGGUGGCGCUGCCACCAAACUUUUUGAGUACCUUCAGGGCA